rfam:Gossypium raimondii chromosome 3, whole genome shotgun sequence.
GGGGGUGUAGCUCAUACGGUAGAGCGCUCGCUUCGCAUGCGAGAGGCACGGGGUUCAAUUCCCCGCACCUCCA